rnacentral:rRNA from 1 species
GAUGAACGCUGGCGGCGUGCUUAACACAUGCAAGUCGAACGAAGCGUCCCGCCCGAUGAAAUGGAGAGCUUGCUCAAAGUAGAAUCAAUUGGGAUGACUUAGUGGCGGACGGGUGAGUAACGCGUGGGUAACCUGCCUUACACAGGGGGACAACAGUUGGAAACGACUGCUAAUACCGCAUAAGCGCACGGUAUCGCAUGAUAGAGUGUGAAAAGAUUUAUCGGUGUAUGAUGGACCCGCGUCUGAUUAGCUAGUAGGCGGGGUAACGGCCCACCUAGCCGACGAUCAGUAGGGGUUCUGAGAGGAAGGUCCCCCACAUUGGAACUGAGACACGGUCCAAACUCC